rnacentral:rRNA from 1 species
GAUGAACGCUAGCGGCAGGCCUAACACAUGCAAGUCGAGGGGUAGUUACUUUCGGGUAAUGAGACCGGCGCACGGGUGCGUAACGCGUAUGCAAUCUACCUUUUACAGGGGAAUAGCCCAGAGAAAUUUGGAUUAAUGCCCCAUAGUAUGUAUGAAUCGCAUGGUUUAUACAUUAAAGUUCCAACGGUAAAAGAUGAGCAUGCGUCCCAUUAGUUAGUUGGUAAGGUAACGGCUUACCAAGACGAUGAUGGGUAGGGGUCCUGAGAGGGAGAUCCCCCCACACUGGUACUGAGACACGGACCAGACUCCUACGGGAGGCAGCAGUGAGGAAUAUUGGACAAUGGGCGCAAGCCUGAUCCAGCCAUGCCGCGUGCAGGAAGAAGCAUCUAUGGUGUGUAAACUGCUUUUGUACGGGAAGAAACACUCCUUCGUGAAGGAGCUUGACGGUACCGUAAGAAUAAGAUCGGCGUAACUACCGUCGCCA